ensembl:snRNA U6 U6 spliceosomal RNA
UUGCUUCUGCAGCACGUAUACAAAAACGGGAAUGAUACAGACAAGAUUAGCACGGCCCCUGUGCAAGGAUGACAUGCAAAUUUGUGAAGUGGUCCAUAUUUUC